CUGCACCCCGAGCUCCAGGGGAGGGGUGGGGCGGCCCGUGGCCUCAGGCACCAGGUCCCGCCGCCCCCUGUUGCUUUAACAAGUAGUUUCGCCAAAAUCUCUCAGCAGGAGCCUGCUGCGCAGCUUCCACGCUGUCCUUGCUGUCCUCGCUCCCCUCGCUCCCCUCGCUCCCCGGCCCCCAGGCAGAGGCGGGCUGCAGGGUGUCCCCGGGCCCCCGGUGUGGACGUGGCUGUCCACAAGGCCCCCCCACAGCUGAGACCCAAAACACCAGCGCCUGAGUCCCACUGCCACCGCAGUGGUCUGGGGGCUGCGACCUCCUGCCUCCCCAGGUCCCCUGAGUCCUGCACCCCCAGACAGCAGGGUGCUCGGCGGGGCGCUAAUAAAGGACGGUGGAGUGCUGCAUGCCUGGUGUCUGUGUGUAGGCUGGUGGCGCUGUCUGUGGGCUGCUCCGCUGUCCGGGGCACGGGACCCACUCUGCAUCCCCCAAGGAGGGCUGUCCCGUCUCUGGGGGACAAGGCUGAGGGCGCCAGGGGAGAAAGAAGCCCCAGCCCUGACUGGACACAUUGGGGUGGCUUGUGGGCAGAGGAACUGGGGGUGCUGGGGCUGCAGCAGCUCAAAACCAGAGGGAGGGGGUGGGUGUGCCCAGCGGGUAUGGUCAGUGUUCAGUUUCUGGAUCCAAGCCCAUGGACCCCCAGGGCUUCCCUUCUCAGCUGGCACCUGGGUGCUGCAAGCUGCCCCCCCACCAGCUUUGAGGGUCCCCAGCUGCCCUGGGAGCCUCCUCUGGGCUCUGGGAGGAGCCCCUCGGGUCAGAGUCCUGGGUUCUGGGGUCCGGCCCAGAGAGGGGCGGGGGAGACCCCUGUUCUGCAGACCACAGACCCUUGGACAGACAGGCCAGGGCAGCAGGUGGCACGGGUGCCACCCCUGAAGCCUCCCGACGUCCCGGGCGGGUGGGCGACCCCCGCCUCCGGCAGCCCACCAGCAGGACCUCCCACUGGUUCCGGAGCAUCCCGCGCGCCCAGCAGAGGCGGUGAGAGCGGCCCAGCUCUGGGGGAGCCCGAGCCUGCCGCAUCUGCUCGGAGCUGCCGCCACGACAGUCCCUCACCCGUGUGUCCACCCGCGGGGCUACUUGGAAGCAAAUUCCAGACUUUGAGUCAUUUAUACAUAAAUCAGCUCGUGUGUCUAAAAACAGUCUCUCGGGGGCACCUGGCUGGCCCAGUGGGCCGACUGCCCGGCUCCUGGUUUCGGCUCAGGUGA
rnacentral:lncRNA from 12 species